rnacentral:rRNA from 1 species
AAAAGAAAUUGGACGGGGAACCGCGCAAACGGUGGAGCAUUGGUUUAAAUAGAAGCACCGCGCAGAACCUUACCAUCCCUUGACAUGUCGUGCCAUCCGGAGAGGUCCGGGGUUCCCUUAGGGGACGCGAACACAGGUGCUGCAUGGCUGUCGUCAACUCGUGUCGUGAGAUGUUGGGUUAAGUCCCGCAACGAGCGCAACCCACGUCCUUAGUUGCCAUCAUUCAGUUGGGCACUCUAGGGAGACUGGCGGUGAUAAGCCGCGAGGAAGGUGUGGAUGAGGUCAAGUCCUCAUGGCCCUUACGGGAUGGGCUACACACGUGCUACAAUGGCGGUGACAGUGGGACGCGAAACCGCGAGGUUGAGCAAAUCCCCAAAAACCGUCUCAGUUCAGAUUGCACUCUGCAACUCGAGUGCAUGAAGGCGGAAUCGCUAGUAAUCGUGGAUCAGCAUGCCACGGUGAAUACGUUCCCGGGCCUUGUACACACCGCCCGUCACACCAUGGGAGUUGGUCUUACCCGACGGCGCUGCGCCAACCGCAAGGAGGCAGGCGACCACGGUAGGGUCAGCGACUGGGGUGAAGUCGUAACAAGGUAGCCGUAGGGGAACCUGCGGCUGGAUCACCUCCUU